GGGGGGAAUGUGAAGGUUGCACAUUUCAUGGUGCAGACAAUGGGGGAGAACAGGAACUCUCACAUUACAGGCAGAAGUGUUCACAACCAGCGCAUUGAGCACCUGUGGAGGGAUGUAUAUGAAAACAUCCUUGACCUUUUGUACACAAUCUUCACCCAGCUGGAGAUUCAAGGACUGCUCAACCCUGGUGAAGAAAUUGACUUGUUUGCACUGCACAGAUGCUUUUUGCAUCACAUUCAACAUCAUCUUCAGUCAUUCUAGGAAGCAUGGAAUCAGCACGGACUCAGAACAGCAAACAACCAUUCACCCCUGCAACUCUGGUUGCUGCACAGAAAAGAGGGACAAGAUUUGUCACAGGUUGAUGAGGAUUAUGGUGUGGACUGGACAGAACCACAUAAUCAUCGCCCAUCAAAUGAGAUCACCAUUCCUGAGAUUCAGCUCCCACGUGCACUGAAUG